UACAGAGGGUGCGAGCGUUGUUCGGAAUUAUUGGGCGUAAAGCGCGUGUAGGCGGGAUGGCAAGUCGGGUGUGAAAGCCCUCAGCUCAACUGAGGAAGUGCGCCCGAAACUACUGUUCUUGAGUGUCGGAGAGGGUGGCGGAAUUCCCGGUGUAGAGGUGAAAUUCGUAGAUAUGGGGAGGAACACCGGUGGCGAAGGCGGCCAUCUGGACGGAUACUGACGCUGAGACGCGAAAGCGUGGGGAGCAAACAGG
rnacentral:rRNA from 1 species